rnacentral:lncRNA from 1 species
CGGGGCUGCGGGUGUGUUCGGAACAGCUACCGCAGUCAUAGUUCACAAAGGACUAUAGAUAGAAGUAACAUAGUCGAGUUUAAGGUAGUAAACGUAAAGAAAGCCUUUCCCGAUUGUGUAUUUCCGUACAGUUAUUAUUUUAUUGAAUUAUAACAACUUUACAGUAUCCUCUUGUAUUACGAUUCGAUCACGAGUGUCAAAAUGUAUAACGUUGACAAACAAAUCCGUAAGGCUACUUAGAUCUUCACCAUAUCUAACAUAUUAUCACAUUAAGUGCUAAUGAAUUGAAAUUAUCGUACAAAAAUGCCUUAUCAUACAAUCUUUGACUAGUAAACAAAAGGUAUAUUUGAAUAAUAAGGGCCACAAAGAUGUGACGCCAACGUAAUAACGGUUCGGUUGAAGGAACUUAGGACAUUCCAUCUAAGAGAAUCUUGUCUCAUUAAAAAAUAUGAAAGUCCAUGACUAUGUUACGCGUAUGUCAAAUACAAGAAUGGUAUACAGGAUUUUUGCGUUUUAAUGUCAAACAUUAUUUAACCUUCUUCCGUGAAAAAGGAACCGCUUUUGAAAGACACAAUAUCUAGUAAAGUUACUCGUUUUAGCUUCUAGUUUUGAGCUGGGUGAGCGAACACUUUAAAGGACUGCGAGGGAAACUAGAUAUCACGGCCAUUGACAUUCAAGGAACCGGCUAGACGUGUAGCCCUACGGUCCAUAACGACAUUCAUUUAUACACAGGAACGCAGGUAGGAGAGGUAAGGGGACAAUGUACAGUCGCGGCCAGUAGUGUGAGCACUUUCUGUACCGAGCGGUGAUGGCCGUGGCCGUGGCGAGCGCGUUCGCUCUAAAAAUACCGGAGCAAGUGUUAGUGAGUCACGAUGCACGAGUGUACGCGAUUGUCCUUCCAUGCCAACGCUUACAACUGAACGCAUUGUAUUUGAUUGAAGACGCUGCUUAAUGGUGUGGGUUUAAUUCACUGUAUCCGUCAUAGUUACUUCGAGAGGUGCGAAGCUCCUCCGUUUUGAUGGUUAUACUUACUGGCGGAGGAUGCGGUCGAAUACCUCUGAAAUAUGGUACUGCUCCUCAAGGAAAAACGGUUGCCGGGCAGCGAUCAAAUGCAAAGGCAAUGGGAUAAUAACUGAGGAAUCACAUAAUCAUGAGAAACCUAUCUUAGUACAAGGUAGUGAUGGGAGAUAUUUUAAGUUCAAGAGUUUGUAGGGGUUCCUACAAAAUCUUCGGCACAUCUUAUUGCCUGUUCUAUUAUAUGUAAAAUGACAAGGAUGUAUGGCGUUUAUCUUACACUGUUGCACUAGUGCCUUCCGUGGCAAUGGCAAGAGCCUGGCUGUCUAGUAAUGUUUUCGUUCUCAUAAUACACUUUAUUAAAAAUUUAUUUUUACUUUUGGUUUGUUUGAUUUAUUAACUUGGUAGCAUCGGCUUACAUGUUAAUUUCAUCAUAUAACUUCCUAGCUCAACUUGCAGAGUCCAAUGUUAUCGGAGUCAACCUAUAGUGUAAGUUAAAUAUCGUAAACGCUUCUGUUUUGAAAAGAGUGUCUAUGGAGCUACUCACCAUUCUUCUCCACAAGACUCACUUCUUGGAACCGUGCACCUAGCUAUUGACUUUCGUAAGAACUUGUACCUAAUAAGAGUAAGAAAUAAAAACCUUUGACUUUGAAUCACCAUUAAAAUAACGUUGAAGUUCUCAUUUCAGUAUCCUUCAUAGUUACAACGAGAGGUGCGACGCUCCUCCGUUGGGAUGGCUAUACUUACUGGCGGGGGACUCGGUCGAAUUCCUGUGAAAUAUGGUACUGCUCCUCAAGGGCCAAUGGUUGCCGGGCAGCGAUCAAAUACAAAAGCAAUGGAAUGACAGCCGAGGCAACACAUAAUCAUCAGAAACCUGUCAUGGUACAAGAUGAUGAUGGAAGAUAUUUUAAGUUUAAAACCAAGUAGAAUUCCUACAUAAUCUUCAUCGACAUUUUUUUGUCUGUUGUAUUUUGUGUAAUAUGUGAUAAAUCUUUACUGAAAUACUCUAGUUUAGUGCUUGACGUAUUUUUACAAUUGAUUUAUGCUUGUUAGCUAACAAGACAUCGCCAUUAAAAUAACUUUGAAGUAAUAAUUUCAGUAUCCUUCAUAGUUACCACGAGAGGUGCAAGGCUCCUCUAUUUCGAAGGAUAUACUUAUUGGCGAGGGACUUGUUCGAAUUCCUGUGAAAUAUGGUAUUGCUCCUCAAGGUGUCAUGGUUGCUGGGCAGCGGUCAGAUAUAAGGACAAUAAGAUGAUAACUGUGGCGACACAUAAUCAUCAGAAACCUAUCUUGGUACAAGAAAACAAUUUAAGAUAUUAUAAGUCUAGGUUUUCAGGUCGUUAAAAUAGCAUCUACUUGUUUUGAUGAUAUACCUUUUGAAAUUGAGUUAAAUCCUUCAUUGAAUAAAGGAAUUCCUACUUUUUCUUCACUUUACUUUUUUGUCUGAAUAAUUGUCUAUAGUGUAAAUUGUUAGACUUAGUCAAGACUUUGUCUCUUCCAACUUCAAUUUCAAUUAAAAAAACAAAUGUAGAAACUUCUGACUAUUAAUAUAUAUCAUUAAGGUGCUAGAGAAUAUAAAUAAAAUACCAGCAAUCCGAAAUCGUCCGAUACUAUUACCGAGAUAGCAUGAUUCCUAUACGUCAUCGCCACACGUGUAUUAUUUGAGCGUGUAAACAUUGGGAAUUCUUUACUACUAAACGUGUAAUCUACGUACCAAACAAGAAUACAAUAAGCGUGUUAAAAAUAGUAUCAGUUCUAAUCAGAGCGACGGAUUUUUGAAACUAGUAACGCCAUCUCUUGGUAUGAUAUUGUAACUAUGUAAAUGCAUUUUGUGGAUUUGAACGGGGCAUGUAGGUAAUCUUUUAAAGACUACAGAUCUUUUAUUAAGUGUUAGCAAAUUUUGUUGUACCUCCCAUACCAAUUGUAGCUACAGUCUAACAUAUAAAAUGCUAAUAAAAAAAAUUGUAUUGAAAAUGACUUGUUUCAUUUAAAUAUUCGUAAUGAGUAACAUUAUAAAUACGUACUAUUAAAUGCUUAGACUGUAGUAAUUUCAUUUAUUCCAGGAAUACCAUGAUUAAAAUACUUUAUUUUUAUUUUUACAGCGAAAUUAAUAGAGCUGACUACGGGGUCGACGUUACUUCUUUACGACGGUUAUACAUUUUGGAAGCGCAAACGCACUGAAAAUUUCCGCGCGCAAACAUACUGGCAUUGUUCUUCCAAGAAGCAGGGAGCGUGCAAGGUUGUUCUCACCUGCGUUGGGACCCAUAUAAUCAAAGUUCGCAGCCAGCAUAACCAUGACAGGCCUGUGUUGGUCGCCGAUGACGAUGGACGAUACCAUAAAUUCAAUCCGAAAAGAACUUUGAAACAUUGUUGGCAUGACGAUGGCUUCCUAAAAUAUUAAUGUACAGCGUCAAAUAGCUAAGUAAUUAAUACCCCUCUUCCCCCCGAAGUUUCUAUGGAAAAAAUGUUGCCUCGUUGAAAUUUAAUUUAUAAACUAGUAUUGUUGUUCGUAGUAAGUCUAUCUGGUCUGAAUAAUUGAAUUUAUAUAAUUUUUGAAGGAUAGAAAUAGACAGACACAAUUUAAACACAAUUAUUUAUGAACUAGCUUCUUCCAGCGGUCACAACCGCGUUCCGUACCUAUUACUACUUCACGCUUUUAGCCUUCCUCGCUACGUAUAAACGAGCUGAUCUUUUUUCAAAUCGGACCUGAAGAUCCUGAGAUGACUUAGCACUAUAAAGCAAACAGACAAACUUUUCAGCUUUAUAUCAUUAGUAUAAAAGUAGGUAUAGAUGGUAAAUUUUAAGUCAAUUAAUAUCUAGGUACUUACCAUUUGCUUGAUUGCUUACUGUUGAUUUUUAGAAUGCAUACAGUCUGGAUAUUUAAUGGUAUACUUGAUAGGUCUUAUGAUAGAUGCGCGGGCGGGGUAGCACCCACCAUUUAUAAUUAAUUGACAUACAUUUACUUCAUCAUCCUCCUGCCCUUAUCCCAUUUCUAUUUGGAUGUAGGUAGUUGUCUUUGUCUUUCAUUCAUCCCUUUUGUCCAGCCCUUUGAUCCAUACAGGACAGCAGGACCAUUACCUUAUAAUCUUGCCUUUAAGUUUAAGGGAAUAUAUACUUAAUUAAUUUAAUAAAUAAACAUUACUGACAACUUGGUACACGGUAUAGAAACUUGCCAUACGAAGCUGUCACGGACUUUAGUUGUUUGAAUACUGCUAGCUCCAUCUAUUGGAUUGAAAUUAAAAUAAUUAUAUCAAAAUAAUAUAAUAAUUGCGUUAGUUGUUGGUUUAAUACAUUUAGGUACGUACGUACGUAAUUAUUAUACGUUUAGAGUUUAGGUAUAUUAAAUAAGAGCUUCUGUAUGUAAGAAUUCUGUUGGUUUGGUUGGAAGAAACAUUUAAUAUGAUUCACCACUACAGAAGUGAUCUAAAAUGCUCACAUUAGGAAAAUUUUUUUUAUAAAGACAAUAUAAACCAAUUUAAAAGAAAUGAUUUUUUUUUUUUGAUAAUUGAGCUUCGUCGUCGAGUCGGUGCAUACAUAGUCUUGAUUUUUUAUUACGCGUUUUUCGUCCAAAGUUGACAAAGGGCAAUUUUUUUUUCUUCUAUUUUACUAUUUUGUUUCCUCACAGACAAAAUUAACUGAGAUAAAACGUUAGCAAGCUUAAAUUUUAACUUACCUACGUUAAAUAGUAAGUAGAGUAAUACCCCUCGAAGUUUCUAUGGAAGAAUUAUUAACUAGUUGAACCUUAAUUCAUAAUAAAUUAGUAUUGUUGUUGGUAGUAAGUGUGUAUUGAUUUUUCUGAAUAAUUGAUUGUAUAUAAUGUUUGAAGAAUAGAAAUAGACAGUAGUUCAUUGUCAAUUUAAAUUAAACA